rnacentral:rRNA from 1 species
ACAGAGGGUGCAAACGUUGCUCGGAAUUACUGGGCGUAAAGCGCGUGUAGGCGGACCACCAAGUCGGACGUGAAAGCCCUGAGCUCAACUCAGGAACUGCAUCCGAAACUGGCGGUCUGGAGUAGUGGAGAGGAAAGCAGAAUUCCUGGUGUAGAGGUGAAAUUCGUAGAUAUCAGGAGGAACACCGGUGGCGAAGGCGGCUUUCUGGACACUUACUGACGCUGAGACGCGAAAGCGUGGGGAGCAAACAGGA